UACAGAGGGUGCGAGCGUUGUUCGGAAUUAUUGGGCGUAAAGGGCGCGUAGGCGGUGCGGUAAGUCACCUGUGAAAUCUCCUGGCUUAACUGGGAGCCUGCAGGCGAAACUACCGUGCUGGAGUGUGGGAGAGGUGCGUGGAAUUCCCGGUGUAGCGGUGAAAUGCGUAGAUAUCGUAAGGAAGACCAGUGGCGAAGGCGGGUCUCUGGACAGUUCCUGACGCUGAGGCGCGAAGGCCAGGGGAGCAAACGGG
rnacentral:rRNA from 1 species